ACGACUAUUCGAUGAACAGGUAGUACGAGAGAUCCUCACAGUACAUAUCAGACCACAAAUGAAUGAAGACAAACUGAUCUGGACGGGCACGAAGGAAGGCGACUACACUGUUAAGAGCGGUUACAACACCCUUCGAAAAAAGAAACCACAGAACAUCUAUUCCUACUAUGCAAGUGGACGAGGGAAGUCUGGGAUGUUCCUGCACUCAACAUCCAGAUCUCAAAAUACCAAACUUCCCGCUUUGAUGAAUGGCUGAUUAAAUUCAUACCCAGCAGCAACAACUCCCCUGAAUUUGAGUUAGUCUCUGUUGUCCUCUGGGAAAUCUGGAAAGCAAGGAAUAGCCUCGUCUUUAGAAGGCUCCUCCCGGACCCACAGUUGCUGGUUGAAAGAGGACGACAAUUGCUAAAAAAUUUCAACAGAUGGAACAACCUUGACAGACCAAUUGAAGCUGUAAACCACUCUGAGGAGGAUGUCUGGAGUCCCCCAGAGAGGGGCGAAACAAA